rnacentral:rRNA from 1 species
GAGCCAAGAAAAGUUUCUAAGUUUAGCUAAUGUUGCCCGUACCGUAAACCGACACAGGUGGGUGGGAUGAGUAUUCUAAGGCGCGUGGAAGAACUCUCUUUAAGGAACUCUGCAAAAUAGCACCGUAUCUUCGGUAUAAGGUGUGGUUCGCUUCGUAUUAGGAUUUACUCCGAAAGCGAAGAAACUUACAACAAAGAGUCCCUCCCGACUGUUUACCAAAAACACAGCACUCUGCUAACUCGUAAGAGGAUGUAUAGGGUGUGACGCCUGCCCGGUGCUCGAAGGUUAAUUGAUGGGGUUAGCAUUAGCGAAGCUCUUGAUCGAAGCCCGAGUAAACGGCGGCCGUAACUAUAACGGUCCUAAGGUAGCGAAAUUCCUUGUCGGUUAAAUACCGACCUGCAUGAAUGGCGUAACGAGAUGGGAGCUGUCUCAAAGAGGGAUCCAGUGAAAUUGUAGUGGAGGUGAAAAUUCCUCCUACCCGCGGCAAGACGGAAAGACCCCGUGGACCUUUACUACAGCUUGACACUGCUAUUUGGAUAAGAAUGUGCAGGAUAGGUGGGAGGCUUUGAGUAUAUGACGCCAGUUGUAUAUGAGCCAUUGUUGAGAUACCACUCUUUCUUAUUUGGGUAGCUAACCAGCUUGAGUUAUCCUCAAGUGGGACAAUGUCUGGUGGGUAGUUUGACUGGGGCGGUCGCCUCCCAAAUAAUAACGGAGGCUUACAAAGGUUGGCUCAGAACGGUUGGAAAUCGUUCGUAGAGUAUAAAGGUAUAAGCCAGCUUAACUGCAAGACAUACAAGUCAAGCAGAGACGAAAGUCGGUCUUAGUGAUCCGGUGGUUCUGUGUGGAAGGGCCAUCGCUCAAAGGAUAAAAGGUACCCCGGGGAUAACAGGCUGAUCUCCCCCAAGAGCUCACAUCGACGGGGAGGUUUGGCACCUCGAUGUCGGCUCAUCGCAUCCUGGGGCUGGAGCAGGUCCCAAGGGUAUGGCUGUUCGCCAUUUAAAGCGGUACGCGAGCUGGGUUCAGAACGUCGUGAGACAGUUCGGUCCCUAUCUGCCGUGGGCGUAAGAAGAUUGAAGAGAUUUGACCCUAGUACGAGAGGACCGGGUUGAACAAACCACUGGUGUAGCUGUUGUUCUGCCAAGAGCAUCGCAGCGUAGCUAAGUUUGGAAAGGAUAAACGCUGAAAGCAUCUAAGCGUGAAGCCAACUCUAAGAUGAAUCUUCUCUAAGCUCUCUAGAAGACUACUAGUUUGAUAGGCUGGGUGUGUAAUGGAUGAAAGUCCUUUAGCUGACCAGUACUAAUAGAGCGUUUGGCUUAUCUUUAAUAAAGCAU